UACGAAGGGGGCUAGCGUUGUUCGGAAUUACUGGGCGUAAAGCGUAUGUAGGCGGAUCGUUAAGUCGGGGGUGAAAUCCCGAGGCUCAACCUCGGAACUGCCUUCGAUACUGGCGAUCUUCGAGUCCGGGAGAGGAGAGUGGAAUUCCUGGUGUAGCGGUGAAAUGCGCAGAUAUCAGGAAGAACACCCGUGGCGAAGGCGGCUCUCUGGGACGGUACUGACGGCUGAGACGCGAAAGCGUGGGGAGCGAACAGG
rnacentral:rRNA from 1 species